UACGUAGGGGGCUAGCGUUGUCCGGAAUCAUUGGGCGUAAAGCGCGCGUAGGCGGCCCAGUAAGUCCGUUGUAAAAGUCAAAGGCUCAACCUUUGAAAGCCGAUGGAUACUGCUGGGCUAGAGUCCGGAAGAGGCGAGUGGAAUUCCUGGUGUAGCGGUGGAAUGCGCAGAGUAUCGGGAGGAACACCAGUGGCGAAGGCGGCACUCUGGGCCGGUACUGACGCUGAGGAGCGAAAGCCAGGGGAGCAAACGGGAUUAGAAACCCCGUG
rnacentral:rRNA from 1 species